UACAGAGGAGCCAAGCGUUGUCCGGAUUGACUGGGCGUAAAGCGCACGCAGGCGGACGCGCGCGUGGGGUGUGAAAUCUGGCCGCUUAACGGCCAGGCGCCAUCCCAUACGGCGCGUCUGGAGUGAUGCAGAGGUCGAUGGAAUUGCCGGUGUAGUGGUGAAAUGCGUAGAGAUCGGCAGGAACACCCACGGGGAAACCAGUCGACUGGGCAUCUACUGACGCUGAGGUGCGAGAGAGUGGGGAGCGAACCGG
rnacentral:rRNA from 1 species